UGCCAGCAGCCGCGGUAAUACGGAGGGUGCAAUCGUGGUUCGGAAUUAUUGUGCGUAAAGCGCGUGUAGGCGGUUCGUUAAGUCUGAUGUGAAAGCCCGGGGCUCAACCCCGGAAGUGCAUUGGAAACUGGCGAACUUGAGUACGGGAGAGGAAAGUGGAAUUCCGAGUGUAGGGGUGAAAUCCGUAGAUAUUCGGAGGAACACCAGUGGCGAAGGCGGCUUUAUGGACCGAUACUGACGCGGAGGCGAGAACGCGUGGGGCGCAAACAGGAUUAGAUC
rnacentral:rRNA from 1 species